rnacentral:rRNA from 1 species
UAGGGAAUCUUCCACAAUGGACGCAAGUCUGAUGGAGCAACGCCGCGUGAGUGAAGAAGGUCUUCGGAUCGUAAAGCUCUGUUGUUGGUGAAGAAGGAUAGAGGCAGUAACUGGUCUUUAUUUGACGGUAAUCAACCAGAAAGUCACGGCUAACUACGUGCCAGCAGCCGCGGUAAUACGUAGGUGGCAAGCGUUGUCCGGAUUUAUUGGGCGUAAAGCGAGCGCAGGCGGAAUGAUAAGUCUGAUGUGAAAGCCCACGGCUCAACCGUGGAACUGCAUCGGAAACUGUCAUUCUUGAGUGCAGAAGAGGAGAGUGGAACUCCAUGUGUAGCGGUGGAAUGCGUAGAUAUAUGGAAGAACACCAGUGGCGAAGGCGGCUCUCUGGUCUGCAACUGACGCUGAGGCUCGAAAGCAUGGGUAGCGAACAGGAUUAGAUACCCU